GAGAGCUGUAUACGCAGGAAUGUGUACGUACGGUUCGGAGGCGAGUACUUGGAAACCUACCACUGUCAAAGGUGGCAAGGCGUUGGGUGCUUAGCCUAU
rnacentral:ncRNA from 1 species